AAGACCAAACGAAAGAGAAAUCAGGCCGUCCGCCCUUCCUCCCUUUCGAAUGUUGCAUCGUCAGAGCAUCUCUCGUCCACAAGAGACAACAAAAGAAAAUGCUUGGCGUUCAGUCGAGCCGAACACGAGGAAGACAAAGGCGUCCGUGACCAAGAUGAAAGAGCACAGGAGGAAAGCGAUCCGCCAUUGAGCCAGAGUUUGCUGGGAAAUUCUUGAUACGAAAGGAAAGGAGGCAACUCGCUUAUUACCUGUCCUUCCGUCAGCGAAGCAACCACCAGAGGCGCUAGCCAACUGUUGACCGAAGCCACACCGCUAAUUAUUCCGUAGAUUGUCCCUGAGAAAUGAGGCGCCACAUCCAGAUGUCCGACGGCCAUUACCAGCAACACGAGAGUUGACAAACGAUCGCAGCCAGUAAAUGAAACCAUCAAUAAACAAAGAGCAGGACCUAGUUUGGCUUUGGAAAAAUAAAAGGGAAAUGGUUCAAAUAGUGCGGUGGCUUACACGCGACACGAGGAAAACAAAUUCGAGUUUCGUAAACAAACUUACCGAUUGUAUUGGCCGUCUUUCGAAUGACGUUGGUCGUUGCCCAGCCUCUUCGCGCCGUUAAAUCUGCAAACUGGGCCACCAAAAGACUCAAUAUCCACAUGACCAAAUAAGGAAGGGCCGAUAGUAAUGCGUUCUGAACACGAAAAAGGACCAUUUUUUAAAUGGGAGACGUAAAAGAAAAUGUUUUUCUCGUGGCCGAUGAAACUCACACGCUUUUCAUGUCAAAGUGGAGGAUCGUUUUCAUAUAGAUGGGAAGUUGAGUGAUCAACAUGUAAAAUGCCCAGUUAUUUCCAAGGGUGGCCACCAGCAGAGCCCAGCAGGGAAUCGAAGUUGCGAUGGACAUCCAGGGCACUGCCAUUGUCUGACAACAGGAAACCCUUUGUAGCUUGCAGGCAAAAAAAUUCUGGGGUGCAGUUCUGGUGAAUCGUAAACCACGUAAAGCCAAACUCCAACCACAACUGGUGCCAGAGAUCCUUGAAUGUAGAAAACAGCCUCCCACCCCCAAAAAUCAGCCAUCAAUCCACUGCAAGUGAUUCCUAGGACUGUGCCAACUUGAGCACCUGAAAAUAUGAAAGUGGAGAUGCUGCUACGCUCUCCACUCGGAGCCCAUUUUGCCACCAAUGGCUGAAUGGAAGGAACAAUCACUCCCUUCCAACAACCCCAUCAGUUUAUCGAGUUCCAGUUCUCGCCAAAACGGGAAGACAAAUCGUAACGAGGCCGGCCGUCGUUUGCGCACCGGCAAACAUGUAUUUAGUGCCGAAUCGUUCUGCUAUCCUUCCGCCAAUCAGCUGCGUGAUGAUGUAUCCCCAGAAGAAAGAAACGGACACCAACGACUGGAUUUUCUCAUCCCAAACAAACUCGCCAUCUUUCUGAGCCACUUCCACUGCCGCUUCUGGGUGGCCGCAUUCCUCGGCCGUCGUAAUGUUUGUGUGCGGAAUAGCUGUGUAGUUGACCAUGGCCACAAUGACAAUGUUGAUAUUCAAGCGGACCAUGUAGACGUACAGGAAAUUGAGAAAAGCCACAACGGCCACUGCGUAACGGGCCCGAAUACCUUCAAACAUUUUGUUUUUAAAAAGCACUUUGUCUUUCUCACAGGGGCAUUUUAAAACUACUGCCCACUCCUUCUACUGUUGUAAAAAGAAACAGUUGAAGAAAAACACACACCCCCUCAGAUCGCUAUCUGAGAUGUGCUUCAAGAGAGGCUGAUGUAUCGUUUUCCGGUUGAAAUGGGAUACAGCCCAUUGGCUACUUUGUUGGUCGGUACAAAGAGGCUUGUGUUACAGAUUUUAAAAGCUGAUGUUUACUGGCUGGAAUGUCAUCAAUGUUACCAUUCAAAACCUUUUCUUCCGCCGCCCUGUCCCACUCUUGCCGCUCGGUUGAGCCGAACAGGA